rnacentral:rRNA from 1 species
CCUACGGGUGGCAGCAGUGAGGAAUAUUGGUCAAUGGGCGAGAGCCUGAACCAGCCAAGUCGCGUGAGGGAGUACUGCCCUAUGGGUUGUAAACCUCUUUUGUCGGGGAGCAAAAGCCGGACGUGUCCGGCUGUGAGAGUACCCGAAGAAAAAGCAUCAGCUAACUCCGUGCCAGCAGCCGCGGUAAUACGGAGGAUGCGGCCGUUAUCCGGAUUUAUUGGGUUUAACGGGUGCGCAGGCGGAUUUUUAUGUCAGCGGUAAAAUCGUGGGGCUCAACCCCAUCCAGCCGUUGAAACUGGGGAUCUAGAGUGUGCGAGAGGUAUGCGGAAUGCGUGGUGUAGCGGUGAAAUGCAUAGAUAUCACGCAGAACCGCGAUUGCGAAGGCAGCAUACCGGUGCACAACUGACGCUCAGGCACGAAAGCGUGGGUAUCGAACAGGAUUAGAUACCCGUGUAGUC